UUUCAUUGCAGGGCUGUGACCGUCUACGACAAGCUGGCAUCUUUCUUUAAAGAGGCACCUCUGGACCUGCAGCACCGGCUCCUCAUGAAGGUGGGCAGCACGCACUCUCUGUUCAGUCAGAACCUGAGGACCCAGCCAUGGAGCGGUCAGCCUUCAUGGAGCAGGAUGCUGGGAGCGGGCUGGUGAUGCGUCUCCAUGAGCGGCCAGCCCUGCUGGUCAGCAGCACAGGGGAGGGUGUGUGAGCUGGAAGAGUGCUGUCUAGAAACAGGCCCCUGACAUUCAAUUCUCUUCUCAUAGAGGACGAAGACUUCUCUAUCCUGCUGGCAGCUUUAGAAUUGCUUCUUUUUUUAAACACAGAGUUUGAACAACUGACUCUUCACGGACGCAACCUUCCUUCUCUUGUCUGUGUGAUAACAGGUGACGGGUCCAUGGCAGUGUCUGCUCUUCUCUGUGAAGGCAAAGGGCCUCUGAGGGAGUAUUACAGCCGCCUCAUCCACCAGAAGCAUUUCCAGCACAUCCAGGUCUGCACCCACUGGCUGGAGGGCCGAGGACUACCCCCGCUUCUAGGUGAGAGGCCAGCAGGA
rnacentral:lncRNA from 1 species